UACGUAGGGCGCAAGCGUUGUCCGGAAUUAUUGGGCGUAAAGAGCUCGUAGGCGGUUUGUCACGUCGGGUGUGAAAGCCCGGGGCUUAACCCCGGGUCUGCAUUCGAUACGGGCAGGCUAGGGUGUGGUAGGGGAGAUCGGAAUUCCUGGUGUAGCGGUGAAAUGACGCAGAUAUCAGGAGGAACACCGGUGGCGAAGGCGGAUCUCUGGGCCAUUACUGACGCUGAGGAGCGAAAGCGUGGGGAGCGAUGACAGGA
rnacentral:rRNA from 1 species